UUUAGAGUUUGAUCCUGGCUCAGGACGAAACGCGGCGGCCAUGCUUUAUACAUGCAAGUCGAACGCUGAAGCACUCUGCUUGCAGAGUGCGGAUGAGUGGCGAAACGGGUGAGUAACACGUGGGAAAUCUGCCUAGGAGUGGGGGAUAACAUUCGGAAACGGAUGCUAAUACCGCAUAUCUUUUUGAACCGCAUGGUUCUUAAACGAAAGACGGCUUCGGCUGUCGCUCUUAGAUGAUCCCGCGGCGUAUUAGUUAGUUGGUGGGGUAAAGGCCUACCAAGACAAUGAUACGUAGCCGACCUGAGAGGGUGAUCGGCCACACUGGGACUGAGACACGGCCCAGACUCCUACGGGAGGCAGCAGUAGGGAAUCUUCCACAAUGGGUGCAAACCUGAUGGAGCAAUGCCGCGUGAAUGAAGAAGGUCUUCGGAUCGUAAAGUUCUGUUAUUAGUGAAGAACAAAUCGAGGAGUAACUGUCUCGAUUUUGACGGUAACUAACCAGAAAGUCACGGCUAACUACGUGCCAGCAGCCGCGGUAAUACGUAGGUGACAAGCGUUGUCCGGAAUUAUUGGGCGUAAAGGGAGCGCAGGCGGUUGGAAUAGUCUGAUGUGAAAGCCCACGGCUUAACCGUGGAAGGUCAUUGGAAACUGUCCAACUUGAAUGCAGAAGAGGUAAGUGGAAUUCCAUGUGUAGCGGUGAAAUGCGUAGAUAUAUGGAGGAACACCAGUGGCGAAGGCGACUUACUGGUCUGUGAUUGACGCUGAGGCUCGAAAGCGUGGGUAGCGAACAGGAUUAGAUACCCUGGUAGUCCACGCCGUAAACGAUGAGUGCUAAGUGUUGGAGGGUUUCCGCCCUUCAGUGCUGGAGUUAACGCAUAAGCCACUCCG
rnacentral:rRNA from 1 species